rnacentral:rRNA from 1 species
UGGGGAAUUUUGGACAAUGGGCGAAAGCCUGAUCCAGCAAUGCCGCGUGUGUGAAGAAGGCCUUCGGGUUGUAAAGCACUUUUGUCCGGAAAGAAAUCCUUGGCUCUAAUACAGUCGGGGGAUGACGGUACCGGAAGAAUAAGCACCGGCUAACUACGUGCCAGCAGCGCGGUAAUACGUAGGGUGCAAGCGUUAAUCGGAAUUACUGGGCGUAAAGCGUGCGCAGGCGCUUGGUUGCAUAGACCGAUGUGAAAUCCCCGGGGCUCAACCUGGGAACUGCAUUGGUGACUGGCAGGCUAGAGUAUGGCAGAGGGGGGUAGAAUUCCACGUGUAGCAGUGAAAUGCGUAGAGAUGUGGAGGAAUACCGAUGGCGAAGGCAGCCCCCUGGGCCAAAUACUGACGCUCAUGCACGAAAAGCGUGGGGGAGCAAAACAGGAUUAGAUACCCUGGUAGUCCACGCCCUAAACGAUGUCAACUAGUUGUUGGGGAUUCAUUUCCUUAGUAACGUAGCUAACGCGUGAAGUUGACCGCCUGGGGAGUACGGUCGCAAGAUUAAAACUCAAAGGAAUUGACGGGGUCAUA